GAUUUAAAAUUUAUUUUUUUUUCUUUUAUUUUUAAUAAAAAAAGUUUUAUAUUUGUUACUUAAUUUUUAAAGAAAAUUUUUUUUUGUGAUAGUUAUUCUACUGUAAAGGUUAUUUAAAGUCUUAUAUAAGAAUAAUUUUUUUUAGUACCUUUUGUAUCAGGGUAAAUUAAUUUUUUUUAUUUAUUUAAUUUUCCCGAAGAUUUAAGAUCUAAUUAAAUUAGAAUUUUUUUGUUUUAUAAAAAUUUGUAAAGUUUAAUUAGUUUUGAAAUGAAAUUCGUUUAAGUUUAUAUCUGGUUUUCUGAGAAUUUAAUUUAAUUAAUUAUCUUUAGUUAAAUUUAUUUUUUUUGUUAAGGUAAACAUUUAAGGGGGAUAAGCUCUUUAAUUUUUUUUAAAUUAAUUUAUAUUUAUAUUUUGUAGGGUUAAUAUCUUUCAUCAUUUAAAGUUCGUUAAGGAUUAAUAUUAUAUUUUUUUUUUUUUAAAUUUUUUAUCAGAAUUUUUUUGUUAAUUUUUUAAAAUAAAAUUUAUGAUUUAAUUAGUAAAAUUUUAUUUUAAUAUUAUGAAUUAGGCAAAAUUGUUUCCGCCUGUUUAACAAAAACAUGUCUUUUAGAUUUUUUUAAAAGUCUAACCUGCUCAAUGAUUAUUUUAAAUAGCCGCAGUAUUUUAACUGUGCUAAGGUAGCAUAAUAAUUAGUCUUUUAAUUGAGGUCUGGAAUGAAUGGUUGAACGAGAAAUAGACUUUAUUAUAUUUAAUUUUUUUAAUUUUUUUUUCUAGUAAAAAAACUAGAAUAUUUAAGUGGGACGAUAAGACCCUAUAGAUCUUUAUUAUUUACUUAAUUUUUAAAUAUUUUGAAUGUGUUUGUUUUAGAUAAUUUAAUUAAUUUUGUUGGGGUGAUAUUUGAAAAUUUAAACUUUUUUUUUUUUUUACAUUUGUAUAUGGUUAAUUUGAUCUUUUUUUUUGAUUAUAAGAUUAAGAUACCUUAGGGAUAACAGCGUAAUAUAUUUGGAAAGUUCUUAUUGAUAAAUAUGAUUGCGACCUCGAUGUUGGAUUAAAAUUUAAUUGUGGGGUAGGUUCUACAAAAUUAGGUCUGUUCGACCUUUAAAAUUUUACAUGAUCUGAGUUCAAACCGGUGUAAGCCAGGUUGGUUUCUAUCUACUUUAGAUUAAAUUUGAUUAGUACGAAAGGACUCUCAUGUUGUAAUAUUUAUU
rnacentral:rRNA from 1 species